AUUUAGGGUUUCGAACUAUAGAAGGUGAGAGUGAGAGAGGGGGAGUAGCAGGGGAGAGCUGCAGCCAUGGCGAGGAUUAAGGUCCACAAGGUCAGAGGAAAGUUGAAGAC